AUUGAACGCUGGCGGCAGGCUUAACACAUGCAAGUCGAGCGGGGGAAGGUAGCUUGCUACUGGACCUAGCGGCGGACGGGUGAGUAAUGCUUAGGAAUCUGCCUAUUAGUGGGGGACAACAUCUCGAAAGGGAUGCUAAUACCGCAUACGUCCUACGGGAGAAAGCAGGGGAUCUUCGGACCUUGCGCUAAUAGAUGAGCCUAAGUCGGAUUAGCUAGUUGGUGGGGUAAAGGCCUACCAAGGCGACGAUCUGUAGCGGGUCUGAGAGGAUGAUCCGCCACACUGGGACUGAGACACGGCCUAGACUCCUUCGGGAGGCAGCAGUGGGGAAUAGUGGACAAUGGGGGGAAACCUGAUCCAGCCAUGCCGCGUGUGUGAAGAAGGCCUUAUGGUUGUAAAGCACUUUAAGCGAGGAGGAGGCUACUCUAGUUAAUACCUAGGGAUAGUGGACGUUACUCGCAGAAUAAGCACCGGCUAACUCUGUGCCAGCCGCCGCAGUAA
rnacentral:rRNA from 1 species